CUUUAGAGUGAACAGGCUCUUGAAAGACCCCCGAAGGGAGCCCCCCACUCAAGUCUCGGGAAAGACGCGCACCCAGUAGGACACAGACACCG
rnacentral:pre_miRNA from 14 species